rnacentral:rRNA from 1 species
GACGAACGCUGGCGGCGUGCUUAACACAUGCAAGUCGAACGGAAAGGCCCUGCUUUUGUGGGGUGCUCGAGUGGCGAACGGGUGAGUAACACGUGAGUAACCUGCCCUUGACUUUGGGAUAACUUCAGGAAACUGGGGCUAAUACCGGAUAGGAGCUCCUGCUGCAUGGUGGGGGUUGGAAAGUUUCGGCGGUUGGGGAUGGACUCGCGGCUUAUCAGCUUGUUGGUGGGGUAGUGGCUUACCAAGGCUUUGACGGGUAGCCGGCCUGAGAGGGUGACCGGCCACCUUGGGACUGAGAUACGGCCCAGACUCCUACGGGAGGCAGCAGUGGGGAAUAUUGCACAAUGGGCGGAAGCCUGAUGCAGCAACGCCGCGUGCGGGAUGACGGCCUUCGGGGUGUAAACCGAUUUCGCCUGUGACGAAGCGUGAGUGACGGUAAUGGGUAAAGAAGCACCGGCUAACUACGUG